ACACACACACACACACACACACUCUCACACACACACAAUCCCCUGAGUAAUGCCAGGAGGGAUCAGGAGACUGGGAUCUGUAGAUCAGAGGGUCACACAGCAGGGUUCUGUCAGCUCCCCAUCACUCAGAGCAAUGAGGCGAGGCUUGAUAGUCAUCCAGCAGUCAUUCCGUAGUUUAGCUACCUGUCUGUUACCUCAGAUACCUUUAUUUCCUGUACAAACUAGGUGUCAUUCCAUAGGUUAGCUGUCUGUCUGUUACCUCAGGUGUCAUUCCUUAGGUUAGCUGUCUGUCUGUUACCUCAGGUGUCGUUCCUUAGGUUAGCUAUCUGUCUGUUACCUCAGGUGUCAUUCCAUAGGUUAGCUGUCUGUCUGUUACCUCAGAUACCUUUAUUUCCUGUACAUACAAGGUGUCAUUCCAUAUGUUAGCUACCUGUCUGUUACCUCAGGUGUCAUUCCAUAGGUUAGCUACCUGUCUGUUACCUCAGGUGUCAUUCCAUAGGUUAGCUACCUGUCUGUUACCUCAGAUACCUUUAUUUCCUGUACAUACAAGGUGUCAUUCCAUAGGUUAGCUACCUGUCUGUUACCUCAGGUGUCAUUCCGUAGGUUAGCUACCUGUCUGUUACCUCAGGUGUCAUUCCAUAGGUUAGCUGUCUGUCUGUUACCUCAGGUGUCAUUCCAUAGGUUAGCUGUCUGUCUGUUACCUCAGGUGUCAUUCCAUAGGUUAGCUACCUGUCUGUUACCUCAGGUGUCAUUCCAUAGGUUAGCUGUCUGUCUGUUACCUCAGAUACCUUUAUUUCCUGUACAAACUAGGUGUCAUUCCAUAGGUUAGCUACCUGUCUGUUACCUCAGAUACCUUUAUUUCCUGUACAAACAAGGUGUCAUUCCAUAGGUUAGCUGUCUGUCUGUUACCUCAGGUGUCAUUCCAUAGGUUAGCUACCUGUCUGUUACCUCAGGUGUCAUUCCAUAGGUUAGCUACCUGUCUGUUACCUCAGGUGUCAUUCCAUAGGUUAGCUACCUGUCUGUUACCUCAGGUGUCAUUCCAUAGGUUAGCUACCUGUCUGUUACCUCAGGUGUCAUUCCAUAGGUUAGCUACCUGUCUGUUACCUCAGGUGUCAUUCCAUAGGUUAGCUGUCUGUCUGUUACCUCAGGUGUCAUUCCAUAGGUUAGCUACCUGUCUGUUACCUCAGGUGUCAUUCCAUAGGUUAGCUGUCUGUCUGUUACCUCAGGUGUCAUUCCAUAGGUUAGCUGUCUGUCUGUUACCUCGGGUGUCAUUCCAUAGGUUAGCUACCUGUCUGUUACCUCAGGUGUCAUUCCAUAGGUUAGCUACCUGUCUGUUACCUCAGGUGUCAUUCCAUAGGUUAGCUGUCUGGAGUGGAAACAUUAUUUUCCUGUUCACUGUGGAUAAAGCAGAUGACUGUGUUGAAAACUGUUCUUGAAAACUAAAACUUAAUAUUGCUGAUGUUGUCU